UGACCAUGUAAAAGGAAAGCCCCUGAUAU
rnacentral:piRNA from 1 species